rnacentral:rRNA from 1 species
AGUGGCAGACGGGUGAGUAACGCGUGGGAAUCUACCUUGUAGUGGGGAAUAGCCUUUCGAAAGAGAGGGUAAUACCGCAUGUUUCCAAAUUUAUUUGGAAAAAGACUUCGGUCGCUAUAAGAGGAGCCCGCGUCCUAUCAGGUAGUUGGUGGGGUAAUAGCCUACCAAGCCAAUGACGGGUAGCCGGUGUGAGAGCACGACCGGCCACAAGGUCACUGAAACACGGGGCCUACACCUACGGGUGGCAGCAACCGGGAAUAUUGCGCAAUGGGCGAAAGCCUGACGCAGCGACACCGCGUGUGGGAAGAAGCUUUUCGGAGUGUAAACCACUGUGGCAAGGGAAGAAUUUUUGACGGUACCUUGCUAGAAAGCACCUGCUAACUACGUGCCAGAAGCCUCGGUAAUACGUAGGGUGCAAGCGUUAUCCGGAUUUAUUGGGCGUAAAGAGUUCCGCAGGCGUCUUUACAAGUUUCUUGUUUAAGCCUGAGGCUCAACUUCAGAAAAGCAAGAAAAACUGUAAAGAUUGAGUUUGUUUGGGGAAGCUGGAAUUCUCGGUGGAGGGGUGAAAUCCGUAGAUAUCGAGAGGAACACCAAUCGCGAAGGCAAGCUUCUAAAACAAUACUGACGCUAAGGGACGAAAGCUUGGGUAGCAAAAGGGAUUAGAGACCCCUGUAGUCCAAGCCGUAAACUUUCCUCGCUAGUUGCCUGGUUAAUAAUGCAU